ACCAUGAUCAAACCACUGCAGCCGCUUCAACAGAACCAGUGGAGGUGUGUUCAGCGUGGAGGAAUACCAGCAAUCACUACACAUCUGAAGAAAUGCCCUCAUUCCAUCACAUCUGCGAGAGUCAGCGCAGCAGAGACUAAAAUAGAGUUGGAUUCUCCAGAGGGUCUGAAGCUGAGAGGAAUCCACCCAGCAUAAACACGACCCACCAUCCUCAAUCCUCACCAGAUAUCAAUCGUCAGAAGUCCAAGAGAAACGGUUUACGAGCGAUGCUUUGUUGUCAGAGCCCAAAGGCAAGGCGUUUCAUGAGAUGAACACUGUAGUUUGGGAUUAAAGCAAUAACCGUGCGUACAUGAGGAUCCAUCAUACUACAACCAACUUGUGUGAUAUUUCUUCAAGAUGGGACCUUCUGUGAUGUCAGGAAACAUUCAACAGGCCUGAAUUACACUUAAACCGGACACUUUCUUGAUCCUCAGAUAAUAAUCUAUGCUAAUUACUGCUUUAAUC
rnacentral:lncRNA from 1 species